rnacentral:rRNA from 1 species
AGUCACUGACAUUAGAUACCCGUGUAGUCCUAGCCGUAAACGAUACUCGCUAGGUGUCGGCCACGGUGCGACCGUUGUCGGUGCCGUAGGGAAGCCGUGAAGCGAGCCACCUGGGAAGUACGGCCGCAAGGCUGGAAACUUAAAGGAAUUGGCGGGGGAGCACCACAACGGGUGGAGCUUGCGGUUUAAUUGGAUUCAACGCCGGAAAUCUUACCGGGACCGACAGCAACAUGAAGGCCAGGCUGAAGACUUUGCCGGAUUAGCUG